AAAUAGAUACCCUGGUAGUCCACGACCGUAAACGAUGAGUGCUAAGUGUUAGAGGGUUUCCGCCCUUUAGUGCUGCAGCUAACGCAUUAAGCACUCCGCCUGGGGAGUACGGCCGCAAGGCUAGAAACUCAAAGGAAUUGACGGGGGCCCGCACAAGCGGUGGAGCAUGUGGUUUAAUUCGAAGCAACGCGAAGAACCUUACCAGGUCUUGACAUCCUCUGCCAACCCUAGAGAUAGGGCGUUCCCCUUCGGGGGACAGAGUGACAGGUGGUGCAUGGUUGUCGUCAGCUCGUGUCGUGAGAUGUUGGGUUAAGUCCCGCAACGAGCGCAACCCUUGAUCUUAGUUCGCCAGCAUUCAGUUGGGCACUCUAAGGUGACUGCCGGUGACAAACCGGAGGAAGGUGGGGAUGACGUCAAAUCAUCAUGCCCCUUAUGACCUGGGCUACACACGUGCUACAAUGGAUGGUACAAAGAGCUGCGAACCCGCGAGGGUAAGCGAAGUCUCAUAAAGCCAUUCUACAGUUCGGAUUGUAGG
rnacentral:rRNA from 1 species